rnacentral:rRNA from 1 species
UUAAGCGACUAAGCGUACACGGUGGAUGCCCUGGCAGUCAGAGGCGAUGAAGGACGUGCUAAUCUGCGAUAAGCGUCGGUAAGGUGAUAUGAACCGUUAUAACCGGCGAUUUCCGAAUGGGGAAACCCAGUGUGUUUCGACACACUAUCAUUAACUGAAUCCAUAGGUUAAUGAGGCGAACCGGGGGAACUGAAACAUCUAAGUACCCCGAGGAAAAGAAAUCAACCGAGAUUCCCCCAGUAGCGGCGAGCGAACGGGGAGCAGCCCAGAGCCUGAAUCAGUGUGUGUGUUAGUGGAAGCGUCUGGAAAGGCGCGCGAUACAGGGUGACAGCCCCGUACACAAAAAUGCACAUGCUGUGAGCUCGAUGAGUAGGGCGGGACACGUGGUAUCCUGUCUGAAUAUGGGGGGACCAUCCUCCAAGGCUAAAUACUCCUGACUGACCGAUAGUGAACCAGUACCGUGAGGGAAAGGCGAAAAGAACCCCGGCGAGGGGAGUGAAAAAGAACCUGAAACCGUGUACGUACAAGCAGUGGGAGCCUCUUUAUGGGGUGACUGCGUACCUUUUGUAUAAUGGGUCAGCGACUUAUAUUCUGUAGCAAGGUUAACCGAAUAGGGGAGCCGAAGGGAAACCGAGUCUUAACUGGGCGUUAAGUUGCAGGGUAUAGACCCGAAACCCGGUGAUCUAGCCAUGGGCAGGUUGAAGGUUGGGUAACACUAACUGGAGGACCGAACCGACUAAUGUUGAAAAAUUAGCGGAUGACUUGUGGCUGGGGGUGAAAGGCCAAUCAAACCGGGAGAUAGCUGGUUCUCCCCGAAAGCUAUUUAGGUAGCGCCUCGUGAAUUCAUCUCCGGGGGUAGAGCACUGUUUCGGCAAGGGGGUCAUCCCGACUUACCAACCCGAUGCAAACUGCGAAUACCGGAGAAUGUUAUCACGGGAGACACACGGCGGGUGCUAACGUCCGUCGUGAAGAGGGAAACAACCCAGACCGCCAGCUAAGGUCCCAAAGUCAUGGUUAAGUGGGAAACGAUGUGGGAAGGCCCAGACAGCCAGGAUGUUGGCUUAGAAGCAGCCAUCAUUUAAAGAAAGCGUAAUAGCUCACUGGUCGAGUCGGCCUGCGCGGAAGAUGUAACGGGGCUAAACCAUGCACCGAAGCUGCGGCAGCGACGCUUAUGCGUUGUUGGGUAGGGGAGCGUUCUGUAAGCCUGUGAAGGUGUGCUGUGAGGCAUGCUGGAGGUAUCAGAAGUGCGAAUGCUGACAUAAGUAACGAUAAAGCGGGUGAAAAGCCCGCUCGCCGGAAGACCAAGGGUUCCUGUCCAACGUUAAUCGGGGCAGGGUGAGUCGACCCCUAAGGCGAGGCCGAAAGGCGUAGUCGAUGGGAAACAGGUUAAUAUUCCUGUACUUGGUGUUACUGCGAAGGGGGACGGAGAAGGCUAUGUUGGCCGGGCGACGGUUGUCCCGGUUUAAGCGUGUAGGCUGGUUUUCCAGGCAAAUCCGGAAAAUCAAGGCUGAGGCGUGAUGACGAGGCACUACGGUGCUGAAGCAACAAAUGCCCUGCUUCCAGGAAAAGCCUCUAAGCAUCAGGUAACAUCAAAUCGUACCCCAAACCGACACAGGUGGUCAGGUAGAGAAUACCAAGGCGCUUGAGAGAACUCGGGUGAAGGAACUAGGCAAAAUGGUGCCGUAACUUCGGGAGAAGGCACGCUGAUAUGUAGGUGAAGUCCCUCGCGGAUGGAGCUGAAAUCAGUCGAAGAUACCAGCUGGCUGCAACUGUUUAUUAAAAACACAGCACUGUGCAAACACGAAAGUGGACGUAUACGGUGUGACGCCUGCCCGGUGCCGGAAGGUUAAUUGAUGGGGUUAGCGGUAACGCGAAGCUCUUGAUCGAAGCCCCGGUAAACGGCGGCCGUAACUAUAACGGUCCUAAGGUAGCGAAAUUCCUUGUCGGGUAAGUUCCGACCUGCACGAAUGGCGUAAUGAUGGCCAGGCUGUCUCCACCCGAGACUCAGUGAAAUUGAACUCGCUGUGAAGAUGCAGUGUACCCGCGGCAAGACGGAAAGACCCCGUGAACCUUUACUAUAGCUUGACACUGAACAUUGAGCCUUGAUGUGUAGGAUAGGUGGGAGGCUUGGAAGUGUGGACGCCAGUCUGCAUGGAGCCGACCUUGAAAUACCACCCUUUAAUGUUUGAUGUUCUAACGUUGACCCGUAAUCCGGGUUGCGGACAGUGUCUGGUGGGUAGUUUGACUGGGGCGGUCUCCUCCUAAAGAGUAACGGAGGAGCACGAAGGUUGGCUAAUCCUGGUCGGACAUCAGGAGGUUAGUGCAAUGGCAUAAGCCAGCUUGACUGCGAGCGUGACGGCGCGAGCAGGUGCGAAAGCAGGUCAUAGUGAUCCGGUGGUUCUGAAUGGAAGGGCCAUCGCUCAACGGAUAAAAGGUACUCCGGGGAUAACAGGCUGAUACCGCCCAAGAGUUCAUAUCGACGGCGGUGUUUGGCACCUCGAUGUCGGCUCAUCACAUCCUGGGGCUGAAGUAGGUCCCAAGGGUAUGGCUGUUCGCCAUUUAAAGUGGUACGCGAGCUGGGUUUAGAACGUCGUGAGACAGUUCGGUCCCUAUCUGCCGUGGGCGCUGGAGAACUGAGGGGGGCUGCUCCUAGUACGAGAGGACCGGAGUGGACGCAUCACUGGUGUUCGGGUUGUCAUGCCAAUGGCACUGCCCGGUAGCUAAAUGCGGAAGAGAUAAGUGCUGAAAGCAUCUAAGCACGAAACUUGCCCCGAGAUGAGUUCUCCCUGACUCCUUGAGAGUCCUGAAGGAACGUUGAAGACGACGACGUUGAUAGGCCGGGUGUGUAAGCGCAGCGAUGCGUUGAGCUAACCGGUACUAAUGAACCGUGAGGCUUAACCUU